UGCGUGUGCUGGCCGGGCCGGAGCUCGCACAUCCAAGGGGAAACAUCGAUUCUGGAGGGAGAGGGAUGGCGUCCCCUUCCCCCGUUCCCGCCUGGGGGCUGAGCUGCCCGCGCACUUGCACAAGGGGAGUCUGCGAGCGGGAGCUGGCGCGGAGCAAUGAGGGUUGUUUAGGUGCCGUCUCAGCCGCCAGGAGGUGGAGGGCAGUGCCCUAAAUCUUCAGGGACCUGUUCGGGUCUCUGGAACCAUAGCACAGGAUGGAUCAGGUUGGAAGUGAAAUCGCGCGGUCCAAUCUCUCUGUUAAAACGGGGUCAUCCCAGAGCACGUUGCACGGGAUUGCGUCCAGAUGGUUCUUGAAUAUCUCUAGUGAGGGAGACUCCACCACUUCUCUGGGCAGUCUGUUCCAGUGUGUGGUCACCAGCGCAGUAAAGAAGUUCCUCCUCAUGUUCAAGAGGAACUUCCUGUGCAUAAGUUUCUGCCUGUUGAAGAGCCUGGCUCCAUCCUGUUGAAAUCCCUGUUUAGAUGCUUAUGCACACUGAUGAGGGACAGCAGUGGGAAUUUUUAAAAUGCAAAGGAAUUCAGCUGGGGGAAGAGGAGAGGUAGCACAGAAAUUCGUAUUGUGGCUGAGCAGAAUGAGGAUGGAGCUUCAUCUGCAGCAGCUGCAGCACCAGCCCCACGUUUAGUGACACGCAGCCAGAAACUGCAUUUACAAUUAGAGCACAAAUUCUGCGGGAAUUCAUUCCACCAGUCCUUUUCACUUCCCAAAUCUUUAGAUUUGUGUGUAGUUAGCAGCUGCCUGACGUUUGGCAGACACCUAGAAAGCAAAGGAAAGUAAACAACACCACUCACUGCAGCUGAUUUAGAACUGACAACAAAGAAAAAAACCAACAAAGCAACAACAGAACAACAGCCUUGAAGGGAACAUUACUACAGAGUUAAAAGCUUUGAAUUCCUUCCAGAUCUGUGGUGGUUUAAACAGAAAGAAAGAGUGGAGCUUUCCUGCACCACUUACAACAAUUAGGACUGUGUUAUAAGAAUAAAGCUGUAUGGUUGCAUUUGCAUGUUAAUAAAAAUGAUAUAAAGAAACAA